CCUACGGGAGGCAGCAGUGGGGAAUAUUGCACAAUGGGGGAAACCCUGAUGCAGCGACGCCGCGUGAGUGAAGAAGUAUUUCGGUAUGGAAAGCUCUAUCAGCAGGGAAGAAGAAAGACGGUAGCUUACUAAGAAGCCCCGGCUAACUACGUGCCAGCAGCCGCGGUAAUCCGUAGGGGGCAAGCGUUAUCCGGAUUUACUGGGUGUAAAGGGAGCGUAGACGGCUGUGCAAGUCUGAAGUGAAAGCCCAGGGCUCAACCCUGGGUCUGCUUUGGAAACUGGGGAGCUAGAGUGCGGGAGAGGUAAGUGGAAUUCGUAGUGUAGCGGUGAAAUGCGUAGAUAUUAGGAGGAACACCAGUGGCGAAGGCGGCUUACUGGACAGUAACUGACGUUGAGGCUCGAAAGCGUGGGGAGCAAACAGGAUUAGAUACCCCUGUAGUC
rnacentral:rRNA from 1 species